GGGUUUGAAUGAUCUCUUUAUAAAAAGAAAAGUGAGACGGCUUCUCAGCUGCUUCUGUUGGUAUCUCCCCAGUUGACUCAUAAUGAAGGGUGAUCUCUCUUUAGUGCCGGUGCUUGUGUUCUUGGCUAACUAUCAAAAAAAUAGGGCCAUAGCGUGGACCAAAAAGAAAGCACAGAUACAAAUAUUUUGGCCCAAAAUAUAUCAAGCAUCCCAUUAGCUUCCUUUUAAGUUCAAAUUAGAUUAGAAUUAAAAUUAAAUCUGAUCUUUUAAUGAUUAAGAAGAUGUGAUUAUAUACUUUCAUUUUUUAUUAUUUCAGUUUUGUGUCUUAGUUGGACUGAAAUUAGUAGCUUUAGGG
rnacentral:lncRNA from 1 species